UAAGCAUAUAAUUAAGCGGAGGAAAAGAAACUAACAAGGAUUCCCCUAGUAACGGCGAGUGAAGCGGGAAGAGCUCAGACUUUAAAUCUUCGGAAUUGUAGUCUGUAAAAGCUACGUCAUCUCUAGUGAUCGGUAAAGUGUCCUGGAAUGGAUCGCCAAGGAGGGUGAUAGCCCCGUUCAUACCGAUUAUGAAGGUGUUCGACCAGCUUUUUAAGAGUCGAGUUGCUUGGGACUGCAGCUCUAAGCGGGUGGUAAAUUCCAUCUAAAGCUAAAUAUUGGUGGGAGACCGAUAGCAAACAAGUACCGUGAGGGAAAGAUGAAAAGAACUUUGAAAAGAGAGUUAAAAAGUACCUGAAAUUGCUGAAAAGGAACCGAUAGGAGGCAGUGUUGGUGGACGACCUUUUGGGCUAUCCUCGUGAGGAUGGCUCCUUGUGGUCGUUCAUAAGUCAGGCUUGUUUAAUCGCGUGGGAUAGACUUCGGUCGUCACGUAAUUGAACGACUCCGACGAAAUGCCUCUUAUCAUCCCGUCUUGAAACACGGACCAAGGAGUCUAACAUGUUUGCGAGUGCUCGGAGUUUAACUCCAAGCGCGGAAUUAAUGUGAAUGUGACCUAGUCACUAAGGUAGGAUGCUUCGGCUGCACUAUCGACCGACCACUGUCCUACGGGUACGAGGUUUGAGUGUGAGCAUACAUGUUGGGACCCGAAAGAUGGUGAACUAUGCUUGAGUAGGACGAAGCCAGGGGAAACUCUGGUGGAGGUCCGCAGCGAUUCUAACGUGCAAAUUGAUCGUCGAACUUGGGUAUAGGGGCGAAAGACUAAUCGAACCAUCUAGUAGCUGGUUCCUCCCGAAAUUUCCCUCAGGAUAGCUGCAACCGAAUAGUUUUAUCAGGUAAAGCGAAUGAUUAGAGGCCUCAGGGGUGGAAUGCUCUUGACCUAUUCUCAAACUUUAAAUGGGUAAGAGCCCGGGGUUGCUUAAUUGAACCCCGCGGUCGAAUGACGGUUGCUAGUGGGCCAAUCUGGGUAAGCUAGAUUGGCGAUGCGGGAUGAACCGAACGUCGAGUUAAAGUGCCAAAGUAUCCGCUAACCUAGAUCCCACAAAAGGUGUUGGUUCAUUAAGACAGCAGGACGGUGGCCAUGGAAGUCGGAAACCGCUAAGGAGUGUGUAACAACUCACCUGCCGAAUGAACUAGCCCUGAAAAUGGAUGGCGCUGAAGCGGAUCACUUAUACUCGACCAACCGUGCAAGUACGAAGCACUGUUGAGUAGGGGGGCGUGGAGCUCGUUGUGCAUUCUGUGGCGUGAGCCGGGAUGAAACGGGUUCUAGUGCAGAUCUUGGUAGCAGUAGCAAAUAUUCAAAUGAGAACUUUGAAGACUGACGUGGAGAAAGGUUCCAUGUGAACAGCAAUUGGACAUGGGUGAGUCGAUCCUAAGAGAUAGGAGAAUUCUGUUUCAAAUGGCCCUUACUUGUAAGGGCCAGCCUAUCGAAAGGGAAUCGGGUUAAUAUUCCCGAACCAGGACGUGGAUAUUGAGUGGCAACACAAGCGAAAUCGGGGACAUUGGCGGGGGCCCCGGGAAGAGUUCUCUUUUCUUUUUAACAGCCCGAUGGUCCUUGGAAUCGGAUUGACCGGCGAUAAGGAUCAUUGGCUGGAAAAGCAGCAUACUUUUUGUGCUGUCCGGUGCGCUCUCGACGAUCCGUGAAAACCCGGUAGCGUGACUUAUUCGCACCCCUGGUCGUACUCAUAACCGCCUCAGGUCUCCAAGGUGUGCAGCCUCUAGUCAAUAGAACAAUGUAGAUAAGGGAAGUCGGCAAAAUAGAUCCGUAACCUCGGGAUAAGGAUUGGCUCUGAGGGUUGGGUCUAGGGGUCUCAGGAACAAAGGAUGUGGCGGCUAGGAGGGGACUACGACUCACGUUGCGGACCCAGCCCGGCUGCUCUCCCGAGGUCUUGAGAACGUCUUCGGACUUUCCCUAGUACGUGGAACAACCAACUCAGAA
rnacentral:rRNA from 1 species